rnacentral:rRNA from 1 species
UACGUAGGAGACGAGCGUUGUCCGGAGUUACUGGGCGUAAAGGGUGCGCAGGUGGCGGCGCGCGUGGGGGGUGAAAUCGCCCCGGCUUAACUGGGCGGGGGCCUUCCAGACGGCGUGGCUUGAGCAGCGGAGGGGGACGUGGAAUUCCGGGUGGAGCGGUGAAAUGCGUAGAUAUCUGGAGGAACACCGGUGGCGAAGGCGGCGACCUGGUCCUAUACUGACGCUCAUACACGAAAGCGUGGGGAUCAAACAGG